UACGUAGGUGGCAAGCGUUGUCCGGAUUUACUGGGCGUAAAGAGCGCGCAGGCGGUCGUUCAAGUCGCGUGUGAAAGCCCCCGGCUCAACUGGGGAGGGUCACGCGAUACUGAUCGACUCGAAGGCAGGAGAGGGUAGUGGAAUUCCCGGUGUAGCGGUGGAAUGCGUAGAGAUCCGGAAGAACACCGGUGGCGAAGGCGGCCCGCUGGGCAGUGACUGACGCUGAGGCGCGACAGCGUGGGGAGCAAACAGG
rnacentral:rRNA from 1 species